AUACUUACCUGGCGUAUAGAUAUCGUGAUCAUGCAGGCGAUUCCCCCAGGGUGAGGCUGCUCCAUUGCACUGCGGAGUGGUUGGCGGCGGUGGUUGACCCUUGCGAUUAUUCUUAUUUUUUAUAACUUUCACUUCUACCGUGUGUGACUUGCACACACACAC
rnacentral:snRNA from 1 species